GUUCAUAGCAUGAGUCUUUCUCUGCAGGGAAAUCAGUUUUGUGCCUGUUGUAUUUAUGUAUUGUUCAACAAGCUCCCCAUGAUGCUGGAUUAAUCUUUGCAUCGUCAGAACGGAUUAAACUUAUUUACACUUUGUAGGCAUACAACAAUGGCCGACUUCAUGCCAGGUAAUGCCAACAAGCUGGUCCAGAGUCCAAAGACAGACGUACAGGAUGGGAGCAAAGUUUCAGCUGAGUCUGCAUCAGCAGCAGUGAUCAAAGCAAGACCUGCAGACCUGGGACUGAUUCGAAGUUUGUCAAAGUCAGACUCUGACUUGUUGUCGUCUCCAGUCGGAGAGGAGGACGGAGGUCUGACAAACCGCAGUGGAUCUGUGGCAAACUGCAGUUCUGGCCAACCAUCAGUGGACCGCAUGCCUUCCUAUGCUUCUGAAUGGGAUGAGAUUGAGAAGAUCAUGACGUUGAUUGGGGCUGGCAUUGAAACAACCAAAAACAAACACCACACACCAAGCUCAGAUGGGGCCUGUGGUAAAGCCCUGGACCAGCCGGUUGGAGAGUGGCUGGAGCACGUGGGGCUGCCGCAGUACGAGAGCAAGUUCCUGCUCAAUGGCUUUGAUGACCUACGAUUCAUGGGAAGUAACGUGAUGGAGGACCAAGAUUUAAGAGACAUGGGGAUCACUGACCCAGGACACAGAAAGAAAAUCCUCCAUGCAGCACGCAGCUUUCCCAAGGUCAAACCUCUAGGUUGUGACGGCAGCACAUCUUUAGCCUCUUGGUUGGAUGGCCUUGGCCUGCAUGAGUAUCUCCCCAACUUUCUGUCUAAUGGCUACCGCACCCUGGAGUGUGUAAAGAACUUGUGGGAGCUGGAGAUUGUCAAUGUUAUAAAAGUUGGGCCCUUAGGCCACAGGAAGAGGAUCAUUGCAUCUCUAGCAGAGAGGCCCUACGAAGAAGCUCCCUCUAAAUCCCGUCGGCUUUCCCCAAUCAUGUUUCAUGACCUCCUAUCCCAGACCACCUCACCCCUCAGUCAGCUUGACCCCUACACAAGUCGCUCCAUGGACAUGCUCCUCCCCUUGACCGAAUCGGACAGAAGGCGAAGAGCACUUGACCAAGACUGUAGCAUUUCCCUGCGUUCCUAUAAUGAGAGGCCGCGUUCUGUUGAGCGACACAGUGAACGCCAAAAAGAGUCUCGUUUAAACUUCCGGCCCCAGAGCCAGUCUGCCACGUACGCCACCGUGUCUGCCUGGCAUCACCAGCCUGAGAAGCUCAUCCUGGACUCCUGCAGGUACGAGGCAACAUAUUUAGGAUCAUUGAUAAUCAGGGAUUUACGAGGGAUUGAAUCCACACAAGAUGCCUGUGCAAAAAUAAGGAAAUCGAAGGAUUCCAAAAAGGGCCCAGUUGUCAUACUGUCCAUCACCUACAGAGGUGUGAAGUUCAUUGAUGCUGCCUCAAAGACUAUAGUUGCAGAGCAUGAAAUCAGAAACAUCUCGUGUGCCGCCCAGGACCCGGAUGACCUCUGUACGUUUGCUUACAUCACCAAGGAUUCAAAGAGUGGACACCACUUCUGUCAUGUUUUCAGUACUGUUGAAGUCAUCCAAACCUAUGAGAUUAUCUUAACACUGGGGCAGGCAUUCGAGGUGGCUUAUCAGAUGGCAGUGCAGUCCAGGGCGAGACAGUAUGUGCCUCCAACAUCUAUGGGCUCAGAGUUCAUCGAAACCAAAACCAGCCGCCCAGUGUCUCAGUCGUGGAACAGCAUGAGAAGAUCAGCGGGCGCCCCUCUGCUCGAAUGCCGCUGCUGUCACUGUCACACGUGUACUACCCACCGUCCUUCCUUCCUCCCGUUGCACUCUGUUAGCCCUGGAAUCCAGAUUGACCCCCUGGAGAUGGACGCCGACAUGCAGUCGCUGGGCAGCACCACCUGGCUCUGUGACCAGCGAGACUCCAACAGGCGUCCCGUCAGCACCAAGUAUGAGACCACCAUAUUCUGAGGCAGGAACUUCCCCCCUCCCUCCCCCACACAGCUGCCCCCUCCUCACUGCACCUCCCUUGUACUUUUCGCCUCUACCCUUGCAUCCGGUUCUCUGCUCAUCUCUUUCUCUCACACACACUCAGAGAGAUAUAUAUACAAGUGAGCCCGUGCCUUCUCACUGUGAUGGUAUAGCAUCCCUCAGGGCUGCCUCUUCCUGCACCUUCCUUUGCCCUGCCCAGCAACCCACGCCGACCUCCUACAUGCCAUGACAAACACUCCUGCGGCUCUCCUGAGCUCUCCCAACAUCCCCGGCAGCCUCCCUCGCCUGUUGCUGCUGCAGCCAAUGGCGGAGCCUUGGAACGGAUGAUCCUGGACUGAUCUCAUUUUACAGUGGCCCUGCUCUCUCUCGACCAAACUGCCUCUUCCUCCUCAUCCUCCUCUUCCUGACAACUUGCAUCUGCCUCCAAAUCCCCGAUAGCUCCCAAAGGUUGCAUCUUUAUUCUUCUUCUUCCUCUUUCAAGACAUUCUUUUUGUUUGGUUUUCCUUCGGUUUUCUCCACAGGCUAAACAAGUAUGUUCAUUUUUGAUUUGUUCAGACUUGACUUCACAGCAAGUUCAAGUAUUUUUAGAGAUGUUGUGUAAGGUUAAACUGGUCUGUGGGUUUAACUCUUAAAUGAACAGUUUGACAUUUUAAGAAAUAAAAAAAUUUCUUGCAGAGAUUUGAGAACAUUAAUAAUCUUUAAUAUUUUUUAGCAGAUGCCGCAAAUCUAAAUUUACUUGGUUUAAAACAUGACUCAUACAGUUUCUGUCAUUUGUGCAAAGCUAGUCACUGCAGGGGGCAAAGUCUAAGUUUGUAGUUACCCUGCGUUUAAAAAAUUCAGCACAGCUCCUGCUGUUAUUUCUCAGAUCUGGAUCAGCAAUAAUCCCUGCAGCUGCCACAGAACUAGAGGACAACAGAUAACACAGGCAGAAAAACCUGUCCUGUCUUACCAGGCAUCUACCACUGUGAGGCACUAUGAGGAGGCUGCUUUGCUAGCAUGGGACACAAGAUGGACAAAUACAUAUAAAUAUAGUGAAAGAAAAACAGCAACAUGCAGCAAACAACCUGUAUUUUUUUACUCAUUUGUACAGUACUCAUAGUAAGACCACAAAUGGAUUGGUCACAAAUCGAUCACUGAUGUCUGAACUCAAAGCUGACUGAGAACUGAAACCUUCCUACACGAUGUUGCGAUAUCUAUAAUCGACUAAAACUCCCAAGUAAUCCCCUAUCCUGCCAAACUCCAGCACCCAACAGCUGCACGCCUCCAACCAGUUUUUAAAAGAGGGGAAGGAGAAAAAAAAAAACAUUUUUGGCUUUUCUGCUGUAUUUAAUUGUGACUGGCUGGGAAGAUGUUACAUAGAUGAUGGUACAGGUUUGUUGAGAUGAGUCUGGCCUUGUACUGCCCAGUGCCUGUUAGCAUUAAUGGUAGCGCUGAGAGCCUGCAAAAUCUUCUUCAUUUAAAAAAAGCAAAACUAAAAGCACUGUGUUUGAAAAAAAAAGCACUAUCCCUUUUAAAACUUUGUUUUCCUAAAGUGCAAGUGGAGUAUUAGUGCAUUUUGUGAUACUUUUUUAAAGAUGGGAAGUAACUGAAAAUAUCUCAAUAAGAGGUAAAAGAAUGAAAAGAGAAAGAAAAAAAACGUAAAUAUUGACAAUAGUCCCAUGUUUCACUUAUUUUUGUAUUCAACACAUGAAGAUUUCUUUUAAGAGACUGCUCUGAUGUUUUUAAGUGAGGUUGUGUUAAAAAGGAAGAAGGAGUUGAUCUCUUAAAUCAGUAAACAAAUCUUUUGGUGUCUUCAUUUAAAAAUCCAAACGAGCUUCUCCUGAAGAGUGAAGCUAAUCAGAGUUCCCAUUGCUGGAUGAUGCUGAGGACAGAGUGUCAGUGUAUCGCUCAGACCUGGGGACAAUUAAGAGACAACGAUUAAUCUAACGGUCAAAUUGUUCGGUUUGUGGGAUGAAGCCAAAUGGGUGAAAUAUGUUACAGGUCUUCAAGCCAAAAAUGUUCCUUUCCUCAUAAUCAAAGUUUUCUAUUUUUGAAACCCUAUUGAUGUUAAAUAAAAACUCCCCCAUUACUUUGGUUACAUCCUCCUUUCAUCGUAUAAAGACACUUAUUGGAUCAAUGAAUAAAAUAAUAAAACAUUUGUGGUGUUAAACUGAAGGUGGGACAAAUAAAAUAAACCCUAAAAUGGCUUGAGACAUUAGCACGAUGUAAAGGAGCUCUGCGCUCCUUCCCUGCAGCUACUUUUUAAACGCAGGCGAAACUAACUUGUUUUUUUUAAAUAUAAUGAUUACUGCACUAAAUUAAUUGACAUGUUAUGGUUUUAACAUUGUCUUAUUUUUGGGGGGAAAUUAAGCAGCGACUGUGUCUUUUUUUGCAAAAAUGUAAAAACUUAUAUAUUUUUUAUUCAUUUGUUUAAGAAGCCUAAAUAUUAAUCUGUUUAAGUAAAUAUAAACAAUUAUAUGAAAAGAGAUAAGGAAAAAAAUGGGCUCAAAUUCUGGAUCUUUAUAUCGUUAUUAAAUGAACUACACAUUAAUACACUUAUUAUGUAUAAAUAAAACAUACAUCCAGAACUUCUCAUCCUUAUUUAUUAAUUUUUUAAGCCCUUAAAUUUAGAGAAUAUAGGCUCAUUUGCAACUGUUUUUUACUCCAAUACAACAACUGAAAGGGUUGAAAUAGGCUUAUAAAAUUGUGUUUCCACAUACAGUAACUACCAGUAAAAAAGUAAUGCAGUGUAUUAAUAUAUAAAAUAGUGUAUGCCAAAAACAUCUACAGUUUUUAUUUCAACAGUCUCCCAACAUGAGCAUUUCUUUUUAGCAUUUUAAAAUUUUUCAAAAGCCUUUGCAUAAACUGAUUUAAAUUAAGUCUUUUUUAAAAUACUAGAUUUCUCUUUGGCUUCGGCCCUUUUAGCUUCAGCCUCCAGGACUAACUCAUCAGAUUUUUCUCUUAAUGAAGACACCAAAACAAUAAUGUGCUGCAGGUAAGAUAUGAAACUCUUAUAACCUUCUAACAUAGCUCCACUUAAAACAAAAUUGUGAGCCGUCUCUUUAACAUGAGUGUAACAUGAGCCCCCUGCACAGUUUGGUGCACAGUUCCCUUUAUAGCAUAGCUUAUUAUACAUGUAUAUUAAAUAGUUGGGUUUUUAUUUACCACCACUUCUAAAUUUGAAACAGAUCACUUAAAGUUUGUCACAUCACCUGAGAGAGCCAAAUCUCGUCCUGUUUUGGUGUCCGGUUCAUGCGGUAGAUCUGUAAAGCUGAAACCAUGAUUAUUCAGACAAAGUAUUUUCCUCCUGCACUGUGAUUAAAAAAAAUAUGCUGAUUGUGAAAUUGAGAUAUUGGGUUCUUAAUCCCCGCCCCCACCGCGUGCACUGCCAGCCGUGUGUCCUGUAUGCUUUGUUUCUGUCUGUCCACGUGGAUUUGGACUGCUGCAUCACUGGCCGCUGUCCUUGUUUCUCUGUGUGCCGCAGGAGAAGUGAGGGACUGAGCUCCUCUCCAAAGACAGUGUGUCUGGAGACUCUUUAGAUGUAGCUGCUGUGUGUGCGGAGCCGUGGUUAUGUCAUUGCCACUUUGUUCCGACUUUUAUCUGUUAGCUUCCACUGAUGAUGCAUGUUUGGCAGUGUCUUUGUGUUUUGUCCCCUCUGAUGCACUUGGCCUGAGCAGUCUCUGUGUGUACUGUACUGUAGCAGCGUCUCGUCUCUCGCUCUUUCAUCUGCCAUAUGCCUUUUAUGUUCCCUCUCUCAGUUUACAUCCUAAUUCAUACCCAUCCAUCCGUUUCCACCGUUCUCACAAUUUCUGUCACACUCGUCCCCCCCAUACCACCUCCACCACCACCAUUUUGUAUGUCACCAAGACAACCUGCUCUCGUAUGGCUGCACACUAUUAAGAAAAAAAAAAAAAAAAAGCAUUACACUUUAAUGAAGAGCAGCUAUUUAAAGCAAGUUUUUGGUAGCAUGAUGUGGCUGUGCAUGUACCGGUCCUCUUUUUUAACAUUCGUAUUCUCCCUGUGUAGCUCACCCCAACGUUCAAGUUUCCGGACACCAAGCUGUGAGUUGAAGGGGAGCAGCCGAUGCGAGUGUGUUUGCGAGGGUUGAAUUAGUGCACAAAGCAGAGGGAAAACGAUAAAAAAAGAGGGAGAAAGGGCCAAGCGGCGUUAUUCUGACAUUUAUAUCUCACUCUGUACACCUUCUGCUCCUGCACUGCCCCCAAGAUGAAUCCCUAACUCACAGCCAAAAGGUAACUUGUGGUCACACAUCACUGGCUAAACAGGAGCUGUAUAUCAAUCCUGUUUGGAGAGAGGUCAGACAGUAUGGUCAGGUCUAAUUCCUGGCCUCCAUCUAACUGAUCUUGUCCUGUAGGUACUGUUAUGUUUAGAGCUCUGUAGCCCGUUAGUAUUACUAUUAAUGAGAAUUUCUACUGAUUAAGGUGAAGAAGAUGAAUGGGAUUUGAUAAUGAGUGACAAAAUGUAGAGAAAAAAAAUAAACUGUUCCAGCAUACAAUGCUUUGCCCAUAUUUGUGGUCAGAGUAUAGCUUGUUGUUGAAAAUGUGAUACUGUUUCGAAUUUCAAAGCAAUAUUAUAUUCAUGAUAUUAAAUAAUACAAAGACUAAAGAAACCCUCUCAAGUCGGUUGUCAGCAUUGAUUUUCUUUACAUGGCUGAGCAGUUAAAAACAGACACAUUACACCAGCUGUUCAAAAUCAAAAGUGACAUUACAAGAUGGUAAUUAUUGUACAAUUGUGCUUUCAUUGUUUUCCCUGCUGAACAAGAUUAGUGGGUGGUGCAACUUCUAAUCUAAACAAACGAUUAGCCCCGUUUGUGCCUCUCAUGUACUUUAUUAUUUUCAAGUUGCGGAACUGAGUUCCUGCGGAUCUUUGAAAAGAGAAAAAAAAAGGAAAGGAAAGCGAAGAUUAGUAUUGCUGUGUUUCUCUUGUUGGCAUUCAAAGAGCAGUUAAAAUGCAACAAGCACGAACAAAGCAUUUACGUGUAAAGCUGUUGUUUUAAGGGCUCACAGAAAAUGAAUUUAAUGAGAAAACUUCACAUUAUAAACUACCUUUAUACAGUUUUGUUUUGCUUUUUCCAUGUGCUCUGUUAAGAUGUAAAAAAAAUGUACACUUAUUUAUAUCUAACCUCUGUAACAACUUAAAUGAAGUUUUAGCUCACGAAACGAGUCUAAAAUCGUGGAGCAGCAGAAGGAACACUUUCCUUUAAGGAUCAUGGAGGCUGCUUCAAACAACACGUUGUGUUUUAAAAAGAUAUAAAGAUAUAUUCGAUGCUUUCUGAACAUUUAGCUUGCUACUACGCACAGCUCUGCUACUUUCCACCCAUCCCACUGCAACAGUAGAAAUUCACUCCAAAUUUGAGAAUUGAAAAUGCUAAUGCAUGUUGCAUCUUUCCAAUUUAAACUCCUUAAAAAAAACAAGAAAAGAAACAAAAAGAUUAGUUGUAAUAACUUAAAUAUUUAAAGUGCCAAAAUGUAAAAAAGGUGUCUAAAUCAUGAGAGUUUGAUGCCAAACAGUAAAAUAAAGAAAUAGGCUAAACAGUAAGAAACUGUUUUUUUUUUUUACUUUCCUAAGUGUAACACUGAGUCAUGAUGUUGCAUACAGUAAAUUAUCAAUUUAAGCUUUAUUAUGUUGUUAAUUUAUUAAGUUUGUGCUAUUGAUUUAUUUAUUUUUUUAAUAGAAAAACCCAACAACCACAAGGUCUUGACAUUAGGAGUUGGCUUAUAUUGUUAAAUAUACAAGGACAUAAUUGCUGGUACCCCUUUUUUAACAAAAGCAAAAAACCCCAAUGGUCACUAUAGGAGGCUAUGAGACCAUCUCAAAGCAGUGUGGUGUUUCUGUCACUACAGUUGCACAUAUUAAUAAAAAAUUUAAGAUGUAGUCUACCUCCAUGGAAGUGGCCACAGGAAGAAGUUAUGACAAAGAGACAAAUAAUAUAAUUGGCAACGAAAGAAACUAGUAAAACGUCCAAAGAAAUUAAUGGUGAACUUCAAGUUCAACUUUGUUUGAGCCAAAUAUGAAUAUAAAAAAUUGAAUAUAAAUCAUGAAAAAUCCAGACUGGAAUUUGCCAAACUAUACAUUGACAGGCCACAGACCCUCUGGGAGAAGGUCACAUGAUAUCAGAUGAUAACAGAUGAGAUCAAAUCUAACUUUCUGCCAAGGCACAUCGGGUCUGUGUUCACAUAUGUUCACAAAGAUGGCACUCUGGCACUGGGUGUCUUGAAUAUUUGCAGGGUGCAAUAGAAUCUCCAGAAUAUCAAGGAGUUUUAGAGAGAAUGUGCUGCCCAUUGUCAGAAAGCAUGGUCUCAGUUGCACGUCACGGGUCUUCAACAGGAUAAUGACCCAAAGCACACAGCUAAAAAUGGGAUUAUUCUGAAGAGACCUUCUAUGAGCCCAACUUAAAUCCAAUUGGGCAUCUUUGAAAGGAGCUGAAACAUGUCAUCCAGAAAAGGUAGCCUUCAAAAGACAACUGUAGAAGUUUACUCACGAGGAGUGGGGCAAAAUACCUGCUGAGAGGAGCAGAAGUUAACUGGCAUUUACAGGAAGCAUUUGAUUACAAAAUAUGAAGUUAAGGGUACCAUUUUUGUCCAGCCCUGUUUCAUUAGUUUUUUCUGGUUGUCUUGCUAACCGUACUAUUGAAGAAUAGACAUAAAGCAUAGUCGGACUGUCAUUUUCAUUGAAUUUUUUAUUAGUACUUUUGUCAGAUUCAAAUUAUUUCUUUGGCCAUUGUGUUUUUGUUUAGUUUUUUUUUGUUUUUUUUAGUUUAUUAAAUGAGGGGUACCAGCAAUUUUGUGUGUGUCUAUCCACAUUCGUACAUACAUAGAUAUUAAAACUGAUUUUAAUAACCUUUAUAAAGUAGUCUCAAAGGCUUUAGAAAACUAGUUUCAAGGAUGAUUUAAUUAUUAUGAAUUAUGAUAAUAAGGUUUCCUUUGAAUUUCAGUGCAGCAUCUUCUCUUCAUCUUCUCAGCAUCUGCAGGUUCACUUUGGCUGGUGUUGAAACUCUAUUACUUAUAUUACACAGCAAAUCUCCCAAAAUAACUUUAGCCGAGGAAAACCAUAACAAAAUAUUGCAGGAAUUCAACUUAAACGGCCCAACAAAUAGUAAUGGAUGAAGAAAAUGAUAUGAGUUGUCACAAGUGACUAAUCACCCAAUCAAAGGUUGAAUUGUGAGAACUACAUCACAUUAGACAGCCAAUCAUAAAGGCUGGCCUCUGCAUGCUCUAUUAAUGUACCAGAGAUCUCUCAGUUCUAAACAAUCUAUUUCUAUAGUCCGUAUAACUGCCUCAGUACUGAGAGUUUUAUUGUCAUUUGAUGCUAGAAUUAUAAACAUAACAAUUUUCAUUUUAUUAUUAUAUUAAAGUACUUUUCUAUUAAAUAAAAUCAGACUUAAACAAUCUUUGAUUUUUCUCAUGUGAGAAGAGUCUGUUUAAAUAAACCAUUAAUUAACCAUAAGGACAUGAAAUCCCGAAACUUUGAGGACUGUCUCACUAACGGUGGAAAUAAGAGUUUUGUACGACGAAAUAUGACCAUUGUGUUAAAGUCACAUGGGAAAGAGAGCUCCUGCAGACAAAGCAUAACCAAAGGUGUUUGCAAAGGGAGCAAAUCUAUCAUACAUUUAGAUCAAACUAAGCUAAAAUCAACCACUUUGCCAGAUUUACAUACCGUAUGUAGCGUGUGUUUUUGGAGUCCCGCUGUAGCAGCUAUUAGCUAUUUAACAUGGUUAAAUUGACACUUCAGCAUCUAAACCAGUUCUGCAAAGAGAUGAGCCUUCAGACCCUAAGGGUCUGAAAUCAAUAAAAACUGAAGCUAAAUAAAAUAUUUCCGUCAAGUUCAGAAAUCUGGUAAAAAAAACUGUAUUUUGGUGGAUUUGAGAGUGUGAGUUAUUUUUUAAACUAAAAAGCAAUAAAGGCGUAUUUUAACAUACUGCUUAGUGCGUUCAUCACCUUAAUCGCUGCCCACAGCUCUUAUUCUGAAAGGUUGCUGUGCUAGCAAACAG